UUGGAGAUUUGGGCUCUGAAGAGUUGAACCUUGGUGCAUCAUUUUGGGACGGUUACAGAUUCACUCACCCACUCCUUAUCUCUCCACUGGCAGAUUUAAAGAUGCUAUCAGAAACCUUUACUUUGUGUUGAUUAUAGUGUCUCUUUCAGACAAAGUGAUGCCUCUCAUUUUUCUUUAUUGGUUUUAUCUCGCAUGUGUGUGUGUGACUCAUCGUUUUUGGGUUUAUCUCAGCCUUUCAGUUGCUAAUUCCCACCUACGGAAACGCUGUUGACUCAUCAAGAAUCUUUGCCAAGAAAAUUGCAGCAUAUAUUCAAUCUAUUUUAGAAACCUCUUGUUGGCAUCGAAUUUGAAAUCAUGUAUCAAUCUGUCACCCAAAAAAAUUAAAUGUUUGAUUUUAUGGUUUUAAACUUUACAUAGGGAGAAAAUGAUUUGCAAAACUUGAAGCUUUUUUUCCAAUACGAUCUGAGGUGAUUUCCCAACUUUACAAAAAGUAGGGCUCAAUAUUUAAUAUUGUUUUCUACAGCAGGGGUGCAUUCUGCGGCACAACAUCCGCACGCAGCGAUACGCAAAUUUUCCCCCCCUGCAAGGUAUCUAGGCCACAUUUGCUUACCGUGUUGCCGCACAUCAGUCUGCACUCUGCAUUGUAACCUAGUAAUCUGAUAGGACCAUGCUGCUUACGAGUGAGUCACAUUUGUUUCCACAAACAGACAAACUCCAGAGGUGAGAGCACUCAGUGCGCAUUUCGAAUUGGACGGUGGUUGCCUAGGCGCUGGGGUCCGCCUCCCGCCUUUUGUGGAAGGAGGGAACUUUUAAAGAGACAGCUGCUUCAAUCUUAAUGCAGAAAUAAAACAAAAUACAAAGAAAAUUAGAUUUUAUGUUCGAGAAAGAGAGAUGUAGCAGAUGAUGAUACUGUGGCAUCUCUCUCAAGCCAAUGCUUUUAUCACUUGUAGAAUAGAUUAUCUGGCCUCCCCAACAAGAAAAUUUCACACCUGCAAUUACUCCAAAAUUCAGCUGCGUGGAUGUUAACAAGAACCAGAAAGAGAGAUCACAUUACACGGAUUUUAAGGUUUCUACAUUGGCUACCCGUCUCUUUUACAAUAGAUUUUAAGGUUGCUUUACUGGUUUUUAAAGCUCUAAAUGGCUUUGGCCCUGCUUAUCUAUCUGAUCUUCUUUUACCUUAUGAGCCAGGUCGAGCCCUCAGGUCUUCAGGAAGUUCUCUUUUUACAUUGCCUAAAUUAAAACAAAGACAUGCGGUGAGGCAUCUUUUCACUACUACGGCCCCCCGUCUAUGGAACAGCUUACCUGAAGACCUGAGGACUGCACCUAAUCUUAAUGAUUUUAAAAGCAAACUCAAAACUUACCUUUUUAGUCUUGCUUUUAACUAAAUUUUAUAUCAUUAACUUUGUUUCAGUGUUUUUGCAUUUAUCUCUUCUAGUUUUAAUAACAGGAUUGUCUUUUAUUGAGCCAUUUUGGUGCUCUUAUUUUAGUAUCUUUUACUGUUGUUUUCAUUUCAUUUUAUUUAUUAUUUCUUAAAUUUCAUUCUAUGUUUCUUUGUUUUUAGAUUUUAACUUAAACCUCCAGUGUUUUAAAAUGACAUUUCCUCAUUGCGCACAUUCCUGUUUCUAUGAAAUCAAGCCUUUUUUAAGUUUAUGCAUUUUAAUACUGUUUCUGUUGCAUUUAGAUCGUGGGGUGGGAAUGAGGGGUUGGGCUGGGGUCGAUUUGGGUAUUCUUUGUUCCUUUUUCUGUGUGAAGCAUUUUGUGCUACUUGGUUGUGUAUGAAAAGUGCUAUACAAAUAAAGACUGAUUGAUUGAUUAAUUUGUUGAUCAGAAUCGGGACCUUGUUAAACCUGGGUGUGCUCCUCUUGUACAAAGCCUACGGGUACAGUACCUGUAAGAACUUGAUCCUGUUGAACCGAUCAGUUAAAAUGAAAAACUAAGCAGUUAUAAAUCUGUUCCUCUCUUGUGAAUGUCUCAGUCUU